GGCCACGCCCCCAGGCCACUCCCCCUCUCCCGGCUGCGGCCUCCCAGUCUCCUCGGCCACACCCCCUUCCCAACUACUUAAAAGGACACUCCGACGCUCACGUUUCCCUACGGUGCUGGGGUUCCUGUCUGUGCAGUUCUGCUUGGCCCCGGGCACCCUCCGCUGACUAUGGCUCCUGGAUUCUCAUGAGUCUCCUGCUCAAGACUGUAGGUGAAGCAUGUACAUUUGUUCCCAAGCAGCUCCAGAAAGGCAAGUUUCAGCUCAGUAUCAGGUCCUUUCCAGUCAGCUACAUCUGUCCACAGGUGACAUGGCUGCCUUGGGAGGGAGGGAGCUGUUCCUGUCAAGACUGGCAAGAGUGAUGCAGAGAGAGAUGACACUGGGUGACUUCUGAGCUACUUCCAACGCUCAUAGUCUGUGAUUCUAUGGAACUCACUUGGCCCAGGAAGGGGCUUCCAGAAAGGGGUGGGGGCAUCCCUCUGUUUGGAGGAUUAUGCUGUGAUGAAACUGAUGGAGAAGGCGUGCUGGUGAACACUGGAAGCCUCUGGGUAUGCUGAAGGCAGGACAGAUUGUUCUGCAAGAGAAAUUCACGGGAACUUGGAGUUUGGAUAGAAGGGUCUUGGGGAGAAGAGAGAGAGGCUGGAGAAGAUAAGAUAAGGAGAAGCUGGAGAGUGGAGUAGGGGCGUGUGAAGAUGCAGGCGCCCUGAGUGCCCGGCUGUGUGGACCUGAUCUGAGCCACAACUUCCUGACUUCGAAGGCCAGGCUGGAGCCCAAGAAGGCUUUGCAGCCCCCUGGGUGUGCUCAUUGUGUGAGCCAAGUGUUGUCUCUGGUGAUGAUGCCGACAGCCCGGCUCUCCUCGUGUUUCCGCUGCUGCGUGGAAUGUGAACCAGCUGAGCCGGACCAGCGCCGCCCCAGGGCAGGAGGCCAGGUGUGCUGUCUCUGGACGACAGGCAUGAGGAACAGCGACGCCUGAUGUCACCAGGGCCUGGGAACCACCCUGCCUGGGGGAUGCUGGCCCUCUCUGCUAAUGUGCUUGGGUCCUUAUUUCCUCUUUGAAUGUGUUUCUUGAAAAACAAACUCUUUGAGGUGAAAAAAGUUUAUGGUUUUUAGAACAAUGGUUUGAAAUAGAGCAAAUACUGGUAACAGGCUCUGCAGAUAAUUCUAUAAAGCUGUGAAAGAGCCACGAAAUAGUUUACUCUAAUCACCCUGUACAAAGCAGCCACCUUCAGGAUUCAUUUCUUCAAGUGGUGUCAAUUCAAUUAAUCAUAAAAAAAUGAUUAAAAGAAUUUCAUACAACUUUGCUUUUAAAAUAAAAUCUUGGUGAACCAGCA
rnacentral:lncRNA from 1 species